CUGGGGCGUAGCCAAGCGGUAAGGCAGCGGAUUUUGAUUCCGCCAUGCGGAGGUUCGAAUCCUCCGCCCCAGCC
rnacentral:tRNA from 1 species